UACAGGGGGGGCAAGCGUUGUUCGGAAUUACUGGGCGUAAAGGGCUCGUAGGCGGCCAACUAAGUCACACGUGAAAUCCCUCAGCUUAACUGGGGAACUGCGUCUGAUACUGGAUGGCUUGGAUUUGGGAGAGGAAUGCGGAAUUCCAGGUGUAGCGGUGAAAUGCGUAGAUAUCUGGAGGAACACCGGUGGCGAAGGCGGCAUUCUGGACCAAUAUUGACGCUGAGGAGCGAAAGCCAGGGGAGCAAACGGG
rnacentral:rRNA from 1 species